rnacentral:rRNA from 1 species
GCAGUAUCCUAACUGUGCUAAGGUAGCAUAAUCAUUAGUCUUUUAAUUGGAGACUGGUAUGAAUGGCUUAACGAGAAAUUGACUUUUUUUGUUAUAUUUAUCGAACUUAAUUUUUUAGUGAAAAAGCUAAAAUUUUUCAGAAAGACGAGAAGACCCUAUAGAGUUUUAUAUUUUACAGUAUUUUUUCUUAUUAGAUUUUUUUUGACUAAGUAUAAAAAAAUAUUUUGUUGGGGCGACAUUUAGAUAUAUAAAACUCUUUAUUUUUUAAAUUUCUAUAGAAAUAUGGCUUGAUCCUUUAUAAAAGAUCAAAAGAAAAAAUUACCUUAGGGAUAACAGCGUAAUCUUUUUUGAGAGUUCUAAUCGACAAAAAGGUUUGCGACCUCGAUGUUGGACUAAAAUUUAGGCAGGGUGCAGCAGUUCUGCUUUAAGGUCUGUUCGACCUAUA